rnacentral:rRNA from 1 species
AACGAACGCUGGCGGCAGGCUUAACACAUGCAAGUCGAACGCUCGUAGCAAUACGGGAGUGGCAGACGGGUGAGUAACGCGUGGGAACAUACCCUUUGGUUCGGAAUAACUGAGAGAAAUUUCAGCUAAUACCGGAUGUGCCCUUCGGGGGAAAGAUUUAUCGCCAAAGGAUUGGCCCGCGUCUGAUUAGCUAGUUGGUGAGGUAACGGCUCACCAAGGCGACGAUCAGUAGCUGGUCUGAGAGGAUGAUCAGCCACACUGGGACUGAGACACGGCCCAGACUCCUACGGGAGGCAGCAGUGGGGAAUAUUGGACAAUGGGGGCAACCCUGAUCCCGCCAUGCCGCGUGAGUGAUGAAGGCCUUAGGGUUGUAAAGCUCUUUCGUCAGGGAAGAUAAUGACGGUACCUGAAGAAGAAGCCCCGGCUAACUUCGUGCCAGCCGCCGCCGUAACAC